rnacentral:rRNA from 1 species
AGAGUUUGAUCCUGGCUCAGAGCGAACGCUGGCGGCGUGGUUUAGGCAUGCAAGUCGAACGCGAAAGUGACCUUCGGGUUGCGAGUAGAGUGGCGAAAGGGUGAGUAAUAUAUCGAUAACCUACCCUCGAGAUGGGGAUAACCAUUCGAAAGGAUGGCUAGUACCCAAUGGUCCAUCUUGGAUGCAUUCCUUGAUGGUAAAGAGUUGGGAUCCUUCGGGACCUUCUGCUCGGGGAGGGGUCGAUAUCCUAUCAGCUUGUUGGUGAGGUAACGGCUCACCAAGGCUUUGACGGGUAGCCGGACUGAGAGGUUGGCCGGUCACACUGGGACUGAGACACUGCCCAGACUCCUACGGGAGGCUGCAGUCGAGAAUCUUCCGCAAUGGGCGCAAGCCUGACGGAGCGACGCCGCGUGCAGGAUGAAGGCCCUCGGGUUGUAAACUGCUGUCAUCUGUUAAGAAUGGCCUGUCGUUAAUAGCGUGCAGGUUUGACAAAAGCAGAAGAGGAAGUCACGGCUAACUUCGUGCCAGCAGCCGCGGUAAUACGAAGGUGGCAAGCGUUGCUCGGAAUUACUGGGCAUAAAGAGCGCGUAGGUGGCGCGUUAAGUCGGUGGUGAAAUCCUAUGGCUCACCCAUAGAACUGCCAUCGAAACUGGCGUGCUUGAGGGCAGGAGGGGAAAGUGAAACUCCAGGUGUAGCGGUGAAAUGCGUAGAUAUCUGGAGGAACGCCGGUGGCGAAAGCGACUUUCUGGACUGUUCCUGACACUGAGGCGCGAAAGCUAGGGGAGCAAACAGGAUUAGAUACCCUGGUAGUCCUAGCUGUAAACGAUGGGCACUAGGUUGCGGGUGUUUCGAUGGCAUUCGUUUCCGUAACUAAUGCGUUAAGUGCCCCGCCUGGGGAGUACGGUCGCAAGGCUAAAACUCAAAGGAAUUGACGGGGGCUCACACAAGCGGUGGAGCAUGUUGCUUAAUUCGAAGCAACGCGAAGAACCUUACCCAGGUUCGAAGUGCUAGGAUUAGUCCGCUGAAAGGCGGAUGACGCCCUCGUGGUGGAACUAGUAUAGGUGUUGCAUGGCUGUCGUCAGCUCGUGUCGUGAGAUGUCGCGUUAAGUCGCUGAACGAGCGAAACCCUUGUCCUUAGUUGCCAGCACCUCGGGUGGGGACUCUAGGGAGACUGCCGUUGUUAAAACGGAGGAAGGUGGGGAUGACGUCAAGUCAUCAUGGCCUUUAUGCCUGGGGCUGCAAACGUGCUACAAUGGCAGGUACAAAGGGAAGCAAGACCGCGAGGUUUAGCAAAUCCCAUAAAGCCUGCCCCAGUUCGGAUUGAAGGCUGCAACUCGCCUUCAUGAAGCCGGAAUCGCUAGUAAUCGCGGAUCAGCUACGCCGCGGUGAAUAUGUUCCUGAGCCUUGUACACACCGCCCGUCAAGCCACGAAAGUCGGCAGUGCCUUAAGUCGUGUACCCAACCUUCGGGAGGGAAGCGCCCACGGUAAGGCCGAUGAUUGGGACUAAGUCGUAACAAGGUAGCCGUAGGGGAACCUGUGGCUGGAUCACCUCCU